ACCCGCUGAACUUAAGCAUAUCAAUAAGCGGAGGAAAAGAAACCAACAGGGAUUGCCUUAGUAACUGCGAGUGAAGCGGCAAAAGCUCAAAUUUGAAAUCUGGUGCCUUCGGCGCCCGAGUUGUAAUUUGGAGAGACAUCUUCGGAGUAGACGCCGUCCUAAGUUCCUUGGAACAGGACGUCACAGAGGGUGAGAAUCCCGUGCCUGGAUGGCUGUUCUACUUCAUGUGAAGUGUCUUCGACGAGUCGAGUUGUUUGGGAAUGCAGCUCAAAAUGGGAGGUAAAUUUCUUCUAAAGCUAAAUAUUGGCGAGAGACCGAUAGCGCACAAGUAGAGUGAUCGAAAGAUGAAAAGCACUUUGAAAAGAGAGUUAAAAAGUACGUGAAAUUGUUGAAAGGGAAGCGCUUGAGACCAGACUCGACCAGUGGUGAUCAGCGGUGCUUCUGUGCCGUGCACUUGCCAUUGGUUGGGCCAGCAUCGGUUUGGACGGCGGGAUAAAGACCUAAGGAAUGUGGCUCCCUCCGGGGAGUGUUAUAGCCUUGAGUGCAAUGCCGCCAGUCUGGACCGAGGACCGCGCUUCGGCUAGGAUGCUGGCGUAAUGGUUCUU
rnacentral:rRNA from 1 species